GAGAAUUGUUGUCUGAUUUUUGAAGUGCAAAAGUAUAACAUGUGCUAUGUUACAAAGUGUAUAUGAUUUUAUGAUGGUUAUAAUGCUAUUGUUUUCAUAUGUUAUUUUCAUAAAUCUCACCGAGGUAAGUGGACAAUAAAGGUUUUUAUUAUUAAUAAAUGAGUUUGUUAUAAAUUAUGCUCCAUUGGUCGUUUUUUUAUUUUCUACCAACCUU
rnacentral:lncRNA from 1 species